ACCUGCCCUUGACUCUGGGAUAACUCCGGGAAACCGGGGCUAAUACCGGAUACGAGACGCGACCGCAUGGUCGGCGUCUGGAAAGUUUUUCGGUCAAGGAUGGACUCGCGGCCUAUCAGCUUGUUGGUGAGGUAAUGGCUCACCAAGGCGUCGACGGGUAGCCGGCCUGAGAGGGCGACCGGCCACACUGGGACUGAGACACGGCCCAGACUCCUACGGGAGGCAGCAGUGGGGAAUAUUGCACAAUGGGCGAAAGCCUGAUGCAGCGACGCCGCGUGAGGGAUGAAGGCCUUCGGGUUGUAAACCUCUUUCAGUAGGGAAGAAGCGAAAGUGACGGUACCUGCAGAAGAAGCGCCGGCUAACUACGUGCCAGCAGCCGCGGUAAUACGUAGGGCGCAAGCGUUGUCCGGAAUUAUUGGGCGUAAAGAGCUYGUAGGCGGUUUGUCGCGUCUGGUGUGAAAACUCAAGGCUCAACCUUGAGCUUGCAUCGGGUACGGGCAGACUAGAGUGUGGUAGGGGUGACUGGAAUUCCUGGUGUAGCGGUGGAAUGCGCAGAUAUCAGGAGGAACACCGAUGGCGAAGGCAGGUCACUGGGCCACUACUGACGCUGAGGAGCGAAAGCAUGGGGAGCGAACAGGAUUAGAUACCCUGGUAGUCCAUGCCGUAAACGUUGGGCACUAGGUGUGGGGCUCAUUCCACGAGUUCCGCGCCGCAGCUAACGCAUUAAGUGCCCCGCCUGGGGAGUACGGCCGCAAGGCUAAAACUCAAAGGAAUUGACGGGGGCCCGCACAAGCGGCGGAGCAUGCGGAUUAAUUCGAUGCAACGCGAAGAACCUUACCAAGGCUUGACAUACMCCGGAAUCAUGCAGAGAUGUGUGCGUCUUCGGACUGGUGUACAGGUGGUGCAUGGUUGUCGUCAGCUCGUGUCGUGAGAUGUUGGGUUAAGUCCCGCAACGAGCGCAACCCUCGUCCUAUGUUGCCAGCACGUUAUGGUGGGGACUCAUAGGAGACUGCCGGGGUCAACUCGGAGGAAGGUGGG
rnacentral:rRNA from 1 species